CUGGGGGUGGAGCUCAGUGGUAAGAGUAUGUCCUUAGUAUGUGCAGGGCCUUGAGUUCAAUCCCCAACAUCAAGA
rnacentral:tRNA from 1 species